CCAGGUAGAAAUUCUGAUGAAAGCAGCUGUUAGUGGAAAACAGGGCAUCCCUCAACCUGAAAGCCAGGGGCAGUAGGACAAGUUGCCAGAGGACAAUGAUCACUCAGCUCCAAGCCCCACCAGGUUGGUCCAUUAAUGUCCUUGAUUUGUAGUGUAAAAUAGAGUAAAAUGGCUAGGAAAGCAACUCCAGCAUCUAACCCUGCUGAUAGGAUGUAGUUGUGCCUAACCCACCAUCCUCUAUAUCUCUUGUAGACAACAAAAUUGAAGAAAAUGCCUACAGCAAACCAGCACAUAUAGUUCACAGCCCUGGCUGAUGGCAUGCCUCCUGUGCCUCCUAUGAUAAUAGGCACAUUAAUGAGUUUGAUCCAUUUCUUCUCAGGGAACAUGCGAGAGAGUAUCCACACUGGCACCGGCGCGAGAAGGCCAAUGAGGAAGAAAUAGUUCAUCUUCGAGUACAAACCAAGACGUCCGAACAUUCGCAGUGGUCCAACCACGCCCCAAAU
rnacentral:lncRNA from 1 species